rnacentral:ncRNA from 1 species
UGUAACUACAGGUUAUAAUACCAAUAACACUGUCCUACGGAUGAGAUCGAACAAAUUGUUUAAGCGUGAUAUAUAGCACGACCGGCCAUCUGGGAUAAUACACUCUUCACAGAGUGUAUUAUUUUAUUAUA